rnacentral:rRNA from 1 species
UACGUAGGGUGCAAGCGUUGUCCGGAAUUAUUGGGCGUAAAGAGCUCGUAGGCGGUUUGUCGCGUCUGCUGUGAAGACUCGGGGCUUAACCCCGGGCCUGCAGUGGGUACGGGCAGACUAGAGUGCGGUAGGGGAGACUGGAAUUCCUGGUGUAGCGGUGAAAUGCGCAGAUAUCAGGAGGAACACCGGUGGCGAAGGCGGUUCUCUGGGCCUUACCUGACGCUGAGGAGCGAAAGCGUGGGGAGCGAACAGG